GCGAGCUGGCCCAGGCGUACGCCCGGUUCGGCGUGCAGGUGACGGUCAUCGAGGGCUCACCCCGGGUGCUGGCCAUGGAGGAACCGGAGUCGUCCGAGGUGGCGGCCGCCGCCCUGACCGCCGACGGGGUCCGGAUCGUCACCGGGGUGCGCGCGCAGAAGGUCGCCCACGACGACGGGUUCCACGUGACCCUCUCCGACGGCAGCGUGCUGGCCGGCGAGAAGCUGCUGGUCGCGACCGGGCGGGCGGCCCGGCUCGGCGGGCUCGGGCUGGACCGGGUGGGGCUGGACCCGUCGGCUCGAUUCCUGGCCACCGAUGACCGGCUGCGCGCCGGCGAGGGCAUCUGGGCGGUGGGGGACGUGACCGGGAACGGGGCGUUCACCCACAUGGCGAUGUACGAGGCGGACAUCGCGGUGCGGGACAUCCUGGGGCAGGGCGGCCCGGGAGCCGACUACCGGGCGCGGCCGCGGGUGACCUUCCUCGACCCGGAGAUCGGGGCGGUGGGGAUGACCGAGCAGCAGGCCCGGGACGCCGGCCUCGAGGUGCGGGUGGGGUACGUGCCGCUGAACCAGACCUCGCGAGGGUUCAUCCACGGGCCGGGGAACGAGGGAUUCCUCAAACUUGUCGCGGACGGGGAGCGGGGAGUGCUGGUCGGCGGGACGACCGCCGGGCAGUCCGGUGGCGAGAUGAUCGGGGCGGUGGCGGUGGCGGUGCACGCCGAGGUGCCGGUGUCGACGUUGCUCAGCCAGAUCUGGGCGUACCCGACGUUUCAUCGGGGGCUGGGGCAGGCGCUUCAGUCGCUGGCCUGAACUUGCCGGUCGUCUCAUGCGGGCCUGAGGUUGCUGGUUCCCGCCUUCGCUGUGCGGGCCUGAGGUUGCCGGUAUCCCCGCGCCGGCCCGAGUUUGCUCGUUUUCCUGCGCUGACCUGGAACGACGCGGGACACUGGACCCCGAUUUGGAGGCCAGGGAACCAACGGGUAAUGUUUUCCGGGCCGGUAGGGAAACGGGCGAGCGAACUUCUGGGGUCACCCAGCAAGAUCCGCGGCCGUCCUGCCAAAUCCUCUGAUCUUGGGACUACAGCCUCGCUGUGUGCUGAGCUCAGAGCGGCCGUACUAGGUCAGAUCGGCACCAACCGGGAAAAACCGGUUGACAACGCCGAACGGACCGAGUAACGUAGAGCGAGUGCCCCGGGCGCCGGGCCGCGAAAGCGGGUCGGGCGAACUAGCUAGCUAGGGUAGUAGUUUAGUGAUGGGGUGACGCAGGAAGGUAGAUGAUCCCGGCCGGUGGUUGUGCCGGGGUAAGCGUGUAGGCCGUACCGUAGGCAAAUCCGCGGUGCAUGAGGCUGAGACGUGAUGCCGAGCCGUUCUGGUGAAGUCAUUGAUCCUAUGCUGCCGAGAAAAGCCUCUAGCGAUGUUUCGAGCGGCCCGUACCCUAAACCGACACAGGUGGUCAGGUAGAGAAUACCGAGGCGACGGGUGAACUGUGGUUAAGGAACUCGGCAAAUUGCCCCCGUAACUUAGGGAGAAGGGGGGCCGGACGCGUGAAGCCACUUGCUGGUGGAGCGUGGUAUGGCCGCAGAGAGCAGGGGGAAGCGACUGUUUACUAAAAACACAGGUCCAUGCGAAGUCGUAAGACGAUGUAUAUGGACUGACGCCUGCCCGGUGCUGGAACGUUAAGGGGACCUGUUAGCUCUUCGGGGCGAAGCGGAGAACUUAAGCGCCAGUAAACGGCGGUGGUAACUAUAACCAUCCUAAGGUAGCGAAAUUCCUUGUCGGGUAAGUUCCGACCUGCACGAAUGGCGUAACGACUUCCCCACUGUCUCAACCACAGGCCCGGCGAAAUUGCAGUACGAGUAAAGAUGCUCGUUACGCGCGGCAGGACGGAAAGACCCCGGGACCUUUACUAUAGCUUGACAUUGGUAUCUGAAUUCGAUUGUGUAGGAUAGGUGGGAGACUGUGAAGCUCGGACGCCAGUUCGGGUGGAGUCAUUGUUGAAAUACCACUCUGUUGGGUUUGGGUAUCUAACUUGCGGCCCUGAUCGGGUCGAGGGACAGUGUCUGGUGGGUAGUUUAACUGGGGCGGUUGCCUCCUAAAGGGUAACGGAGGCGCCCAAAGGUUCCCUCAGCCUGGUUGGCAAUCAGGUGUUGAGUGUAAGUGCAUAAGGGAGCUUGACUGUGAGACUGACGGGUCGAGCAGGGACGAAAGUCGGGACUAGUGAUCCGGCACUUGCGUGUGGAAGCGGUGUCGCUCAACGGAUAAAAGGUACCCCGGGGAUAACAGGCUGAUCUUCCCCAAGAGUCCAUAUCGACGGGAUGGUUUGGCACCUCGAUGUCGGCUCGUCGCAUCCUGGGGCUGUAGCAGGUCCCAAGGGUUGGGCUGUUCGCCCAUUAAAGCGGUACGCGAGCUGGGUUUAGAACGUCGUGAGACAGUUCGGUCCCUAUCCGCCGUGCGCGUUGGAUACUUGAGAAGGGCUGUCCCUAGUACGAGAGGACCGGGACGGACGAACCUCUGGUGUGCCAGUUGUUCUGCCAAGAGCACGGCUGGUUGGCUACGUUCGGAAGGGAUAACCGCUGAAAGCAUCUAAGCGGGAAGCUCGCUUCGAGAUGAGGUAUCCCACCACCUUGAGUGGGUAAGGCUCCCAGCUAGACUACUGGGUUGAUAGGCCGGAGAUGUAAGCACGGUAACGUGUUGAGUUGACCGGUACUAAUAGGCCGAGGGCUUAACCA
rnacentral:rRNA from 2 species